rnacentral:miRNA from 1 species
CACCAGUGAACACUAGGUCUCCCAGUGUGCCACGAGCAAUAACAACUGGCGCGCAUGCAUGGACCAGAGACAAAGCCGUCCCUGUGUUUACAAACUGUGCGGGUGAGGACUUGUGCUCCUCU